CGACAGCAUGCAGCACACUUGAAAGAUCACGUCUUCCUCUGUUUUUAACACCAGUUACGGGCUACAGCGCCAAAUAAACAUGAAUGAAUGCCAAAGGGUCUGUAAACAGAUACAGGACAAUUUACUGACAUGAAUCCUGUCACAUGUAAUCGCUCAAUCAGUGCUUCAGCCGUACUUCAGAGACGUCACAAACAGCUCGUCAACAAGAUGUCAUGUUUCUCAUCAAAUCCAUAUUCAGGGACCAUCAACUUGGAUAGUUGGUGAAAUAAUGGCAGAGAGCAUUACUCAGGAUGGACCUUUUUCAUGGAGUGGAUUUACAAUUUCAUUUCUUCCGGGAGAUUAAUAAAGAUACUUGCAGGACUUAAUUAAAAGCCUUGAAGAUGAAGGAACAUCAUUACUCUUACUCUUAAUACUUAAAUUACAUCAGUUCAACAACGGACCGGGCAUCUGACCAGUCAGAGCAGAGAGGACUUGUGGAAAAGACUGAAGAUUUGGAUCACUUCACACUUUUGAAUAUAAACUUGUUAUAGGAAACCUCUUAAACAAUUGUAAAAUAGUAUAUUAGGGGCACUUUAAAAAUGUGAGGUAUUGUCAGUCCAAGUUCAGAGACUGUUAACACAAGUAAGGUUGCAGACAUAGAUGUGUGUGUUUUCUGCAGAAGAAGGGAGCAGCAGUAAGGAGAGCAGGGUUGAAGAUGACAGCGAACAGGUGAUAAAACAAACUGCACUAAAGGAGAUGCAGAACAAGACAAGAUCACCGUCAGCAGUUUCAUGCAGUGGAUUACUGGUCAGGGGCAUGUCCCCAUUACUUCUGCACAUUUGAUCCUGACUGUCAGCUUCGAUAUGGUCAGCAUAGUUUCUGCUUGCCUCUAGUAAAUGCAUGUUCCUGUACUGUAACCUACACAGCAGCGAGAGACAAACACAGAGUUCCUCAGUCCCACUUUACAUGUCCCUAAACCGACCUGUCUCUACCCCUGGAUCUAGAUCCAUCUCCUCCAACUUUAAAUAUGUCUUAACCGAGCGUCUCUGCUCGCUGGAUCUUGUGUGUUCUGCAGUGAGGGCUACUGACUAAGACAGCAUUACCAUUCCUCGUAUCUCUCAGAUCGCUCAUUAUUUGUGUGCAUCACUCCAAUCUGCCACAGCUGCUCGGGACUUCGAUUGUCCUCUGAGGAGAGUGAAUGAUGAUUCCAGGCUUCUGAACAUGUGUCCAAGUCUGCCUGAAGUCUUGGGAGAAAAGUGUAGUGCACACUGAAAAGCUCCUCAAUCACUGAUCUGUCGAGCAAUCCUUCUGCCUCCAGCGAGUGCAGCGUGUCUGAGGACUUGUUGGUGACCGUGAUUCUGACAUCACUCCAGAGACGCUCAAUCCUGUUAGAAACAAUACAGAUUGAAAUCCAAAAAAAAAAAAAAAAUAUUAAUAAUUCAGGUUGAAAA